rnacentral:rRNA from 4 species
AAAUUGAAGAGUUUGAUCAUGGCUCAGAUUGAACGCUGGCGGCAGGCCUAACACAUGCAAGUCGAACGGUAACAGGAAGCAGCUUGCUGCUUCGCUGACGAGUGGCGGACGGGUGAGUAAUGUCUGGGAAACUGCCUGAUGGAGGGGGAUAACUACUGGAAACGGUGGCUAAUACCGCAUAACGUCGCAAGACCAAAGAGGGGGACCUUCGGGC